rnacentral:pre_miRNA from 1 species
UAGGUAGUUUCAUGUUGUUGGCCCUGGGUUUCUGAACACAACGACAUUAAACCACCCGGU